GCCGGGCACGGUGGCUUGUGCCUGUAAUCCAAGCGCCGGGGAGGCUGAGGCUGGCGGACGGCUUGAGCCCGGGGGUUCUGGGCUGCGGCGAGCUGUGCCGAGCGGGCGUCCGCGCUAAGGCCAGCAUCGAUAUGGUGGUCCUCGGGGAGCCACGGGCCACCAGGUCGCUUAAGGAGGGGUGAAACGGCCCAGGGCGGCGGC
rnacentral:SRP_RNA from 1 species